GGCGCGGCGAAGAUGUAAUUUGAAAAGUCACGUCUUUCACAAGAUGUGGAGCAGUUUCCUAGCUCUAGCGAAGGGGAGCGAAGGGACUAUGGGUGAAUAAGGCGUACGUGUGUGAGUGUGACGUGCGGAUGCAACAAAGCCUGAAGCCCAGAGAACGCCGAAUCGCAUAGGCCCGCCGGUGCCUUCACAUCCAACGUUCCAGUUGUACCAUG